UUUGUGGUCGAGUUAUGUAGUAGUUGCCAGAUGUGAUACGAAUACGCGAUGGAGAUGGCUCGACAGAUUUUUGUUUCGUAACGACCAGAACUUUGAUAAAUGGGCAUAGCUCAACAAUGGUCUCCAGAAAGAAGUUCCAAUGUGCAUUUCAAAGUAGAAACAACAGAGCGCAUUACUUUCUUGUGCCCCUUACUGAGGACACGGAUCGCGGUCAACCCCUUCAGCACCACCACCAGAUACAAUCUUAGCAAAAGUCCAUGUACUUUAAAAAAGAUGGGGGUGGAGUUUGACUAGAGACACCCGCGUCCUCCAGCGUACUCUAAUGACAGCAUAUAGCGUCUUUCGGCACGUGCGUCGUGACCAACCAGUCUCACAUGUGAUGCAGCAAACAGGGCUCAAAUGCUCACCCAUCUGUAAAGUAAACUGGUGGGAAUGUGUUGUUGAAGCAGCUCCUGGUGAAGAAGCUGGUGAUCGCGCCUUUGCCUUGAAGACGUUGAGGUGCUCAAGCCCAUCUGAGGAGGUUGAACCGCGCUCUUCCAAUUAGGAGAGAAUAACGACAAUAACCAGGAUGAUAAUUAAUUUUCACAACUUUCUUACACUCAAUCAUGUGCACGAAAACCGUAGAGUUCUUAAACCAAGAUUCAGGUCAAAUAUAUAUUUUUUAUGUAAAUCUACUCUGCAAUGGCAUUGAGUUCCACAGUUUUGUUCAUUUAUGUUAUAAUACAUCACUGUUCACCGUGCGAACACAUACAUGCAUAAUGGAUCCGUAAAAAUUAAAGUCUCGCAGCCUGCUUGCAAUAAAUCGUUAAAUAAAGUAUGUAUUUCGA